GGAUGUGUCUCAGUGGUACAGCACUUGCCUAGCAUGCAUGAGGCCCUGGGUUCAGUUCCCAGCAACAACCA
rnacentral:tRNA from 1 species